rnacentral:lncRNA from 1 species
GGUUUGGUGGCGGCAGGGCCGACGGACUGCGGGGGAAAGUGAGGCAUUGCCCAUGGCAAUUAAAAAAAAUAAAUAAAUAAAAAUCGGUUGAAUUAUCCACCAGCCCAUAGUGUUAGGAGUCGCACACGGCCACGUCUCCCCCCGUCAGCAAUUCAGCGCAGGGGGCUGGUAGGGGGAAUUCGGAGGGGGGGGGGGGGGGGGGGGGGGGGCCAUCAGUACCUCUUGUAUACAGGGCCCAGGAUUUGGUGCAACGGCCCUGGGUGGCGGUAAUGUGGAGUUGUAAAAGCGGCAAAGAAACUGUAUCAAGUAGGUCCGACCUUUUGCAUCACUACAAGUUAAAGCAUCCACAUUUUGGACGUAGUUCUCGCUUUCCAUGCACAUAUAAGACAUGGAAUGCCCUGAAUUCAGUUUGAAACCUGAAUCCUUUGUGCUUUUUUUGUGCUUGCUACUAUAGAUCAACGCUGAGUUUAAGAGAAUCACCACCGUUCCACUUCAAUCCAGGUUCCUGUCUCAGCUGGACGUUCACUCUGACAAACUGACGAGGCUGUUCCAAAGGAGAGGAGGACAUCUAGGGCAAAAGCUAAAAAAAACGCAAAAAUGGCAGAUGGCAUGGAUGGAGACGCCUUCAAUGCUGCUAUUUAAAAAACCUAGGUCGGGAUUUAUAAAAGAGAAUGAGGCAAGUGAAGAAUCUGAGGACAUUGGAGUUGUCCUCGAAGGCAUCAGGUUGUUAAGAGAUUUAGACAAUAUAGCAUUAGCGGUUGCUAUGCUUUUUGGACUGAUGUACGCACUGAACAUCAGCUACCCCGCCGACCUCCAGUACACCUUUGAGGUAGUACAGAAGAUACUAAUGGACAUGGAUGUGGGUAAACUUUCAAACAAAGUACUCGCACUGAAAAACCGUCUCUUCCAAUGAACGGGUCAAACAAAGCGCUGCCUCUCGGUAAACCUCAGAUGAUCACUGGCCUUAAUUUGUGUUAUUCAUUUCUGUUCCUUAUUUGGUGUAUAAACAUGUGUUGCUCUAGGUAUUCUAGGUUUAUAUUGAUAGUGAUAAGUUUAUUUUUUGUGUGUUGAGCCACUGCUGUGAUAGUAUCCAGUUUGUGUUCAGCCACUGCUGUUGAUGGUAUCCAGUUUGUGUGUUCAGCCAGCGCUGUUGAUGGUUAUCCUGUUUAGUGGAAGAGGCAAUGUGCUUGUUACUAUGUGAAUGGAUCUGCACUCUCCAUAUUUUGUACGGAAGCAAGUGUAUGUUUGUGAAUUACCAUAAUGUAUAGCUGUUGGCUAGUGACAUGUUGCAACACAAAGGGAGAGCGGUAAAAAAAUGGGCCAGAAAUUCCCAGUAUAUUGCCUUAUGUUCAGUCAGGGCCACUUCUGAUAACUUUGACUGUUCUAGGCAAAUACAUUUUUAUAUUGAGACAGCGAAAACAGUAAAUGUGGUAUUUGACAGUGAAUCCGCUGCUGUUGAUGCAGGGUAUCGAGUUUGAGUUUUGAUUCAUCUUGCAUCUGUUUACGGCAACUGCACAGAUUUGUCUGUUUUCCUGAAUGUUUUAAAGCUCAAUACAGAAAAUUUGAGUACAAAUGACUGACUCGACCGAUGUCCACAUUAAAAUCGAGUAAAUUCAAUGAAUUAUUUUUUUCAGUGUACAUACAUAUAGAUUCAUAUAAGUACAAAUACAUACCAAUCAUACCCCUACAUACGUCUACAAACAUUCACAUAGCUAUAUGUAUGCAUACACACAUAUAUACUCAUACAUACACAUGCAAACGCAUACGUACACAAACGUACAUAUGUGUAUGUAUACAUACGUACACAUACAUAAACAAGCAUAGGAAUAUAAGCAAACAUAAGCAUGGUAUGGCAG